GGAGUUUCCUGGUAGGGCCAGUCUCCCUUCCGGUCUUCUUUAUACCCUCUACACCUGGCCCUGCCUGGCAGAUGAGUGCUCAGUCAAUGCCAGAUGCAUGAAGAAAUGUAUAAACAAUCCAAUGAAUGAAUGAAUAAAUGAAGAGCAAGGAGAAGCUCUCCACCCUCCAAAAGCAAUUUAUUCAGCAAAUGCUUCAUGUGUCAGGCCUUGUUCUGGGCCCAGGAAGGCCAAGGCUCAGAGCACUUUCCUGCAUGCAGGGACCUCACCGCCUGGUGGGAGGUAAGGCAAGUAGCUAAGUGGUGUUAUACAGUGCAGCUGAUAAUAUCUGACAUCUAUGGACAUUAACAUGAUUUGUCAUCCAAUUUGGAACCUUUGAGACUGGAAGGGGUGCUAUUAAUAAUUGCAUUAACACAGGGGCAUGAAGAAGGACUGUUCUGGUUGAUCCAUUGGGCACACUCUUCAUGCCAGUCUCUGGACUGAGCUAUUUGCACAGAUCAUCUCAUUGAUUCUCCCAGCCACCUUAGGGGAAAGCUGUAAUUACUCCAUGUUACAGAUGAAGAAAGACAGGCUCAAAGAUGGAACAAGAACCCCGGCCGUGAGUGGGGUGGCGGAAGAAUUGUGCAGUCCAAGUGGCUCAUCUGUCUGGGAGGAAAAUCCCAGCUCACCCGUCUUCCCUGGGCCCGCCUGAGGGGAGAGACUGGGAGGCAGGAGCCCAGCAGGGGCUGACCUGUGGUUACCCCAGACCCUGCCUGCCCUCUGCACAGGGGCCUGAGAGGCCCAAGCCCUCCCACAAAUGAGUUUUUAUUAUUUUUCUCUAGCUCUCAGAUGAUGUUAGCUUUCCUUUCUCAUCCAGUCCUUUCCUAUCCUUUCUCUUGGGGAAACACAGUACCAGAAGGUCUGGAGACAGAAGAUAGGAGUUUUGUCGCAGGCUUCCCCAGUCCCUAGCUCUGCAAAUUUGGGUGGGUGCUUUACCUCCCUGAGUGCUGACUUGGGAGUCAGUCUGACCUGGGCUCCUCUCCCAUCCCUGCCACACUGACCAGAUGAUCUUGGGCAAGUCACUUCAAAACCUCCCUGAAUGCACAUUUGAUUUGGUUUGAAUGCAAAUCAAAAUUGUGAAAAUAAAAUAAAAUUUCAGGAGCUCCCCAAUUCAUUAUGCCAAUGGGAAAAGUUAAGCCCUGGAAACUGAGUCACAUCACAGGACUGCUCUCUGACCAUUGCCUCUUGAUUUUUGUGUUGAGAAUGUUAUACUUUAACCGGGCUCCCCAUUCUUUAUUCAAACCUGGACUAAAUGACACGCUGGUGAUCAUUACCUCUUUACAAAUGAGUGUUAAGCAGCCCCCUUAAAGUGUAGUCAAUAGUAGCCAAUCAAAUCUUGUAGCUCUACGUUAACCUUUGUAUGGAAAAUGUAAUUGUGUUACCCACCCGUUUCUGGCUAUAUAAACCAUCCUCACCUUGCCCCACACAGGGAAGCACUGAUCACCAUUCUCUGGUUUUCCUGUUUCCUGACGACUACCCUCACACUUUGCCCUUGAAUAAACUUCUUUAACUAGAAAAACAAAAACAAACAAAACAACAACAGCUUGGACUGGUGUCUCAUCUGUAACAUGGGAUAAUAGUAGGACUCAGGUCACUGGGCUUUUGGGAGGGUAAAAUGAGCUAAUGUGUGUGAAGCAACCAGACAGCCCUGGGGCAUAGUAACUGUUGGAUAGUGGUAGUCAGAUUUUUAUCAACCUUUGUCUUAGUGUGGCAUCUAGCUCCAUUUAUCCCUGGGGAAACUGAGGCCUGAUGUGGUGUAAUCCACUCAAGUUCCCAUAAGGAGCAGGCCUGAGACACAGGGAGCUGAGAUCUUCUGACCUCCAGACAGAGGCUUUUGCACCAGCAAAGAUAAUCCCUGUCUGGAAUGUGGGCUAGUUAUUUUCUUUACAAGGCAGAUCCGGGUAUCACCUCAUUCAACUCCUGCCACAGCUAGAAGAGAAGUCACAGGCUCUGGGUGUUUUCUGAAGCCAGGAUCCCUGGGAUGGUGGGCUUUGUAUGGCCAGGCCUUAUAGCCGUCGGGUAUUUUCCCUGGUGUGGCUCAGCUGCCCCUGAGUUGGCGGCUGGGCCUGUGAGUCAGAGCUGUCCCAUGGCUCCAUUCUUUUCCCCACUUGAAGCCACAGCCCCAGACUCCUGGAGGCAGUCCAGGGAGGCCUGUGGUUCCAAAAUGAGGUCCUUCCCGCACCCACUCAAAUGAAGAUGCCGUUUCCCCAGCUCAGAGAGAGCAAGGGAGGGGCUAAGGACACACAGUGAUGGAUCUGAGGCUGACAUCUGGUCCACCUCAAGUGAGCCAAGUACAGGACUCUGGGCCCAGGUGGGAGGGCCCUAGCACUCUGUCCCCUGCCCCCAGCAACCCUAUUGCCCCUGGCCCUGUGUUGCUGCCGGGGUCCCACAGGCCUGGGCUCGGCAGGAGAGCCUAUGACUCAUGCCGGCCCCACAACCCCUGAGAUGCUGCAGCCGUGAGGGGUCUGGGUCCUGCCAGGUCUACACCUCUCUGCCCUCAAAGCCACAGCCUGGUCGCCACCCUAUUCCCUCCCCUGUCCUUACCCUGGCCGCAGUUCCCUCCGCUUCCUCUCUUCCUCUUCCUCUUCCUCUUCUCUCUUCUCCACCUUCUCCUCACUUCGUGCUCUCACGCUUUUGGACACUCUGUCUGCCCUUCUCCUACCUGGGGCCUGAUCAUGACUCACCUGGACCUGGAAUCUGGGCUCUAGCAGCUGCCUGUCACAGAGCACGCCGGCCUCAAUCCGGGCCUGUGGGCGGAGUGGAGGGGAGGGUGUCCCAGCUGAUAGCCAAAGCCAAAGCACAUGGUGGAGGCAGUGAGACGCCUCAGCACCAGAGCCUUGG
rnacentral:lncRNA from 10 species